GACGAACGCUGGCGGCGUGCCUAAUACAUGCAAGUAGGACGCAGUUGCGAACGGGUGAGUAACGCGUAGGUAACUACCUAUUCGAGGGGGAUAACUAUUGGAAACGAUAGCUAAUACCGCAUACUAGUAGAUGGACCUGCGUUGUAUUAGCUAGUAGGUAGGGUAAUGGCCUACCUAGGCAACGAUACAUAGCCGACGUGGGAGGGGGAUCAGUCCCACUGGGACUGAGACACGGCCCAUAAUCCUCCGGGAGGCAGCAGUGGGGAAUCUUUGGCAAUGGGGGGAACCCUGACCGAGCCACGCCGCGCGGGUGAAGAAGGUGUUCGGAGCGUAAAGCUGUGUUGUUCAGGAAGCGGUACUUAACCAGACAGGGACGGCUAACUACGUGCCAGCAGCCGCGGUAAUAC
rnacentral:rRNA from 1 species